rfam:Sporomusa sphaeroides DSM 2875 SPSPH_contig000003, whole genome shotgun sequence.
CAAGCCUUGCAGCGAUGCAUGGCUAAACUGUCAGAAGUCAGCAGAGGCCAUACUACCAGGAUGGAUAUAUACACCCUGGGAAGGGC